GAUGAACGCUGGCGGCGUGCCUAAUACAUGCAAGUCGAGCGAACGGACGAGAAGCUUGCUUCUCUGAUGUUAGCGGCGGACGGGUGAGUAACACGUGGAUAACCUACCUAUAAGACUGGGAUAACUUCGUGAAACCGGAGCUAAUACCGGAUGAUAUUUUGAACCGCAUGGUUCAAAAGUGAAAGACGGUCUUGCUGCCACUUAUAUAUGGAUCCGCGCUGCAUUAGCUAGUUGGUAAGGUAACGGCUUACCAAGGCAACGAUGCAUAGCCGACCUGAGAGGGUGAUCGGCCACACUGGAACUGAGACACGGUCCAGACUCCUACGGGAGGCAGCAGUAGGGAAUCUUCCGCAAUGGGCGAAAGCCUGACGGAGCAACGCCGCGUGAGUGAUGAAGGUCUUCGGAUCGUAAAACUCUGUUAUUAGGGAAGAACAUAUGUGUAAGUAACUGUGCACAUCUUGACGGUACCUAAUCAGAAAGCCACGGCUAACUACGUG
rnacentral:rRNA from 1 species